AUUUCUUGUAGAGAUCGCAUCUCUGGAGUUUUGUAGUGAACCCAGGAUGUGGGUUGUGGAAAAGUUGUCUAGCUGGGAGGAAUCUUCAGAGAGCAAACUAAAUGUCCAAGAAAGAAGGCAUGUACCUCCUUGGGGCUUGUAUUUUUUCUCUCCAUUAGUGAUGGAAAUCCAGCAGGACUAGAUCCUCUUGGAGACCAGAUUUUGAGAGUCAUAACAGUUUAUGAAUGCAUUAAGUGAAGAUACAGCCUUCAUCUUAUAAGGAAGCAUACCACUCACUCCACAUGUAACUUAAAUCUACUUGGGAUUAAACAAAGAUGAGAAAAGGAAAAAAGAUAUGGGAAAAAUAAAAACAAACAAAAAAAAAACCAGUCUCCAUCACCAGAAUUUUAUUGUUGUGAGCAGUAUAAAAUGGAAUCAACUUUCAUAAAGUGCAUUAAAAUGCUACUACUAGUAAGAUAAUAAAAAUUGAUUUCUUAAUUGCUACGUGCUGUUAUCUAGUUUAGCAGAAGCUUCAUCUUCCACACCAUUCAUGUUAUCAUUUAAUUUAUAGUAGCAUAAUUUCAUUUGAAGUCAGUUUAUGAAAUGUUACCUUUGAAAGUAAUUUUAUGAAUACAAUUUUUUUAGUUAAUGGAUUAUAUGGAGAGCAUACUAUAUUUAUUCCAUAGAGACUAAAAUGUUGCUUUAUGCUGUAACAUGCACAUAUCAACAGAAAUGGAAUCUUCCCACAAUGUUGUGUAAACCCUACAUAUAAUCUCAUCUGGAAGGUAUAACUGGGUGUCAUGGCAACAACUCAUCAAGAAAGGUGAGCAGGUAGAGAGAAGCAGGUAUCACAUUCUCCCUUUUGAUAAGUAAAUAACACAUUGUGCUAGUGGAAAUAUAUUUUUAGCUUGGGAGGAAAAUAAUGUAUACUGUGGCACUGAUAGGUGUGCUUGUUUAAAUGAUAGUUGUAUCUAACUGUAAUGGUUUCAGAAAAGUUUGGGGAAAAAAAGCUAUUUUGUUUUGGAAAUAGAGUCCAGAGCCUAGGAUCUUCUCUUCAUGGCUACAGUAUAUCAGUCCUGAUGGUGUGACAGUAGGUCAGGAUAAGGAACUAAUAGGAUAUUGAUUUUGCUUUGUACAAAUCCUAUCUAUUUUUUCAAAUGUUUAAGGAGACACGUAUAGGUCACUGAUAUGAGCAGAGGCUGAUGUUGCUAUUCUUGUUUGAGACUGCCUGACUGAAGCUUGUUGUGUUUAUGUGAGUUUAUUGGUAUUUUCUUUAACUAUUGUUUUCUAAUUGUAAAUUCUAAAGCUAUACUAUGACAUAUGUCUUAAGCAUUGGAAUAACAAUUUUGUAAUGGGAAAUAAAUGGAAAUGUAAUUAAGCCAAAUAACUAAGGAAUUAUCUGAGCCUAUAAGAUUGAUUAAAACCAAUCUGAUAUGUAA